UUUGAAUGACACAGAGCUUGCAAAUGUAGGAUUGUGAGGCGAUCUUGCAGUCUGUGCGUGUAGCCCUUUGUUGCUGGCUUGUUAAGGGUGUCUUAACAAAUAUCUUAAAAGCAAUCAAGAUAGCAGAUAAAGAGGCCAAAACCGACCCAGCCACGUCUCUUUGGCUUUCUAUCUAAUUUGGGCUCCAUAUAAGAUGUGACAUUUUUCCCGUCCAAAUCAUCAGUUCUUGACUGUUUCUUCAGCGUAACGGAAAAAGUCCUCAUGAAGUCCCUUGCCGGAUUGGGUUCUCUUCUGCUUGUCGUGGGUUUGAUCAAUGUGGCUCAAUGUAGACACCAGCAAUUCCAUUUCCCCUUUGCAUUUGUAGAUACCAUGAAUGAUCAUGGAUUUUAUGAUGCCAUCAUGGAGUCUCUCCUUAAAAAAUGCCGAGCAUUGAAUCAAGAUGAGGCAUCUAGGCCGCAAUGUGCAAUACUUCGAAUGCAAAAUGGCAACGGAGAAUUAACUAUUCCACCUUAUAGACUCGUAAUAGACUACUUUGUUGACUCUUGCAUGUGUUUGAAACGAGGAAUGUAUCAGCCAAUAUGGUGCCAAGAGCUUGAAAAAUCCAAUGGAGGGUAUAUUAAGCUACCAUUUUGGGCAUUGCAGCACCUAGCGAAGAAAAGCUUGCCGACCACAUGUGGGGAGGUUAAUUCGAGUGCUGUAGGAGGCGAUACGGAGAUUUGGUGCUCGCUUUUCGGAUAUUUUUGAAAAAAAGCAUUGACCUUUUCUCUACCUCUAUCAACGACCUCUUGAUAAAUUGUGAUCAAUUCAUGUCAAUCAAAGCUAUUGGAAAUAUGUGAUGAAUAUGCAGAUCAA